CAUGAACAGCUUUAGGGCUGGAAAAUGGGAAACUGAGGAAUAUGGCCCUGAUAAUCCUUUUAAAAUGGGAGAGCCUAUUCAACUGUUUAUUGUUACCAAAUCUGAUGGUUAUGAGUUAUACGUUAAUGGAAGACAAUUUUACACGUUCAAGCAUCGUAUCCCGCUGGACAAAGUCACAGCGUUGAAUAUUGCUGGAAACGUUAAUGUGAACAUUAUUGGCUUCAUAGAAAACUGGAGCACAUUUUCAUUAUCUCCACAAUUCACAACAAUAACCGGUGGGACCAGCAGCUUGAGUCCUCCUACCAUAAUACAAUCAGAGCUCUUACUUCCACCACAAAAUUCU